rnacentral:rRNA from 1 species
CCUACGGGGUGCAGCAGUGGGGAAUAUUGGGCAAUGGGCGCAAGCCUGACCCAGCAACGCCGCGUGAAGGAAGAAGGCUUUCGGGUUGUAAACUUCUUUUCUCAGGGACGAAGAAAGUGACGGUACCUGAGGAAUAAGCCACGGCUAACUACGUGCCAGCAGCCGCGGUAAUCCGUAGGUGGCAAGCGUUAUCCGGAUUUAUUGGGUGUAAAGGGCGUGUAGGCGGGAGCGCAAGUCAGAUGUGAAAACUCAGGGCUCAACCCUGAGACUGCAUUUGAAACUGUGUUUCUUGAGUGCUGGGGAGGCAAUCGGAAUUCCGUGUGUAGCGGUGAAAUGCGUAGAUAUACGGAGGAACACCAGUGGCGAAGGCGGAUUGCUGGACAGUAACUGACGCUGAGGCGCGAAAGCGUGGGGAGCAAACAGGAUUAGAUACCCGGGUAGUC